CCUACGGGCGGCAGCAGUGGGGAAUAUUGCACAAUGGGGGAAACCCUGAUGCAGCGACGCCGCGUGAGCGAAGAAGUAUUUCGGUAUGGUAAGCUCCAUCAGUCGGGAAGAAAAUGAAGGUACCUGACUAAGAAGCUCCGGCGAAAUACGUGCCAGCAGCCGCGGUCAUACGGAUGGAGCCAGCGUUAUCCGGAUUUACUGGGGGUAAAGGGAGCGUAGGCGGGAAGGCAAGUCCGAUGUGAAAGUCCAGGGCUCAACCCUGGGACUGCAUUGGAAACUGGUUAACUGGAGUGUCGGAGAGGCAGGUGGAAUUCCUGGUGUAGCGGUGAAAUGCGUAGAUAUUAGGAGGAACACCAGUUGCGAAGGCAGCUUACUGGACGAUGACUGACGCUGAGGCUCGAAAGCGUGGGGAGCAAACAGGAUUAGAUACCCUUGUAGUC
rnacentral:rRNA from 1 species